CCCGAUCUAGGUGCUAUAACCGUCCCGGCCACCGUGCCCGCGACCGUCCUCCCCGCCGCCGACGCCGCCGCCACCUCCAUUGCCUCCCCGGACCCGGCCGCCACGCGCGCCUUCCUAGGCUGCCUCUACGACUUGGCCAAGCGCUCCCUCUCGGGCGCCCGCCCCUGGCCCGAGCUCCUGGACCGUGCCGCGCUCUCGCGCCCGGACUCCCUCUUCGACGCCACCGCCCGCCUCCGCAAGAACCUCGCCUACUUCCGCGUAAACUACGCCGCGCUCAUCGCGCUCUCCCUCCUCGCGCACCCCUUCUCCCUCGUCGCCCUCCUCGCGUUCCUCGCUGCCUGGUGCUUCCUCUACCUCCUCCGCCCCGCCGACGCCGCCCCGCUCAACGCCUUCGGUCACACCUUCUCCGACCCCACUGAUGCGGCGACCCCGCCGGAGGAGGGGGCAGCGCUCCCCGCAGCCAGGGCGAAGCUGGAGAGGAUGCAGCCUCUGGAGUGGCCCCAGAGGGACGCUCUCUGCGGCGAGCUCGGGGCGGGCGACGCCGGGCGCCGGGUCCGGCUCUACGGCUGGGUCGCCCUCCGCCGCUCCCACGCUGGCCUCACCUGCCUCACCCUCCACGACUCCUCCAGCAUGGUCCAGGUGACCCACGAUGCACCGCGGCCCGCCUCCCAUGGCGCGCCCCCGCCCCGAACCCAUCGACCGCGAGAAGGUCAGCCAGGCCUCCGCAACCCUAACGUUUUUACUUGUUAUACUAGCGUGCGGGCAGAUGCUAGUGUGCAGUUCAGUAAGCACUGUAUUUAG
rnacentral:rRNA from 1 species